UCAAAUGAGAACUUUGAAGGCCGA
rnacentral:ncRNA from 3 species